rnacentral:rRNA from 1 species
GAUGAACGCUAGCUACAGGCUUAACACAUGCAAGUCGAGGGGCAGCACAGUGUAGCAAUACAUGGGUGGCGACCGGCGCACGGGUGCGUAACGCGUAUCCAACCUUCCCGUUACUCAGGGAUAGCCUUCCGAAAGGGAGAUUAAUACCUGAUGGUGUUGAAAUUCCGCAUGUUAUUUCAACUAAAGAUUUAUCGGUAACGGAUGGGGAUGCGUGACAUUAGGUAGAUGGCGGGGUAACGGCCCACCAUGCCUACGAUGUCUAGGGGUUCUGAGAGGAAGGUCCCCCACACUGGAACUGAGACACGGUCCAGACUCCUACGGGAGGCAGCAGUGAGGAAUAUUGGUCAAUGGUCGGAAGACUGAACCAGCCAAUUAGCGUGAAGGAUGAAGGUUCUAUGGAUUGUAAACUUCUUUUAUACGGGAAUAAAACCUCCCACGUGUGGGAGCUUAUAUGUACCGUAUGAAUAAGCAUCGGCUAACUCCGUGCCAGCCGCCGCAGUAACAC